AACGCUGGCGGCGUGCUUAACACAUGCAAGUCGAACGGAAAGGCCCUGCUUUUGUGGGGUGCUCGAGUGGCGAACGGGUGAGUAACACGUGAGUAACCUGCCCUUGACUUUGGGAUAACUUCAGGAAACUGGGGCUAAUACCGGAUAGGAGCUCCUGCUGCAUGGUGGGGGUUGGAAAGUUUCGGCGGUUGGGGAUGGACUCGCGGCUUAUCAGCUUGUUGGUGGGGUAGUGGCUUACCAAGGCUUUGACGGGUAGCCGGCCUGAGAGGGUGACCGGCCACAUUGGGACUGAGAGACGGCCCAGACUCCUACGGGAGGCAGCAGUGGGGAAUAUUGCACAAUGGGCGGAAGCCUGAUGCAGCAACGCCGCGUGCGGGAUGACGGCCUUCGGGUUGUAAACCGCUUUCGCCUGUGACGAAGCGUGAGUGACGGUAAUGGGUAAAGAAGCACCGGCUAACUACGUG
rnacentral:rRNA from 1 species